AAGAAACUGACGGAAGAUUGUAUAAGCGGUGGAGUAUGUGGUUUAAUUUGAUAUAACGCAAAGAAUCUUACCAACCCUUGAAUACAAGUUAUCUUAGCUGUGAUAUAGGUUUUUCCUACUAUUACUAGCUUUUUUAUAUAAUAUAUUUUUUUAAUAUUUUAUAUUGACUUGUACAGGUGCUGCAUGGUUGUCGGCAGUUCGUGUUGUGAAAUGUUUUGUUAAUUCAUUUAACGGACGUAACCUUCAGUUUUAUUUGUUUAAAAGAAAAUAAAGCAAUAUUAAUUUGAAAAUUAAUUGAAAGAAGAA
rnacentral:rRNA from 1 species